rnacentral:snRNA from 1 species
AUACUUACCUGGCAGGCGAGAUACCAUGAUCACUAAGGUGGUUUUCCCAGGGUGAGGCUUAUCUAUUGCACCCCUGCGAUUUCCCCAAGUGUGGGAAACUUGACUGUAUAAUCUGUGGUAGUGGGAGGACUGUGUUCACACUCUCCCC